GACGACGCUGGCGGCGUGCCUAAUACAUGCAAGUCGUAGCGGGGAUUAUGCUUGAUCGCUUCGGUGAGACGGCAUAUAUCCUAGCGGCGGACGGGUGAGUAACGCGUGGGUAAUCUACCUCGUAGUUCGGGAUAACAGGCCGAAAGGCUUGCUAAUACCGGAUGAGUUCAUGCUUAUGCAUAUAGGCAUGAAGAAAGGGCUAGCCCGCUAUGAGAUGAGCCCGCGUCCCAUUAGCUUGUUGGUGGGGUAAUGGCCUACCAAGGCAACGAUGGGUAGCCGGCCUGAGAGGGUGUACGGCCACACUGGGACUGAGACACGGCCCAGACUCCUACGGGGGGCAGCAGUAGGGAAUUUUCGGCAAUGGGCGAAAGCCUGACCGAGCGACGCCGCGUGAGGGACGAAGGCCUUCGGGUUGUAAACCUCUGUCUGGGGGGAUGAGAACGGACGGUACCCCCGGAGGAAGCCCCGGCUAACUACGUG
rnacentral:rRNA from 1 species